GAUCUUUGAUCAGAAAAUCUGUACACACCUAUAUGAAUAUGCGCUUAAAAUUUCACCAGAACGUUUUUGACAACCCUUAGUUUGUGACAUGAUCGAUAUAAGUGUAAAGUCAAAGCUUCUAUUGUAGUUUGCUCGGAUGUACUUGAAGAGAAGCAACAGCAAUGAAACUGUGCGUAGCAUAUAUGUUGAUGUUGGUAGGAGCGGCUCUAGCAGGACCUGCUCGUGAUAUAAGUAGACUCGAGAUCACUGACUGCAAUUGUAACAGAUGUCUCUUUACUCAGAUAGGUUAUGCAUUACAUGGACGUGUUCGUGUGGAGUUUAAUGGGCAAGAGAUACAAGACAACUGUUCCACGAGUUACAUAACAGAUUCUGCACGCGAAGUAAUUGGUUGGAACUGGUAUUGUCCAAUUCAAGGCUCAACAUAUGACAUGUUUGAAGUAUCAUACAAACACUUAUACGAUUGGGAGAUGAUAAAUGGCUGCUAAUGAACAUUUGGCGAAAUAAAAAAAUAUUUUACAAGUAAUACAAAAUAAAUGUAUCAAUUGGUUGCUAUGAAGUGGUUGAUACUUUAACACCAAUUUAAGAAAUAAAUUUAUAUUAUAAGAA